rnacentral:rRNA from 1 species
GUGGAUUAGAUACCCUGGUAGUCCACGCCGUAAACGAUGAGCACUAGGUGUCGGGGUAGCAAUACUUUGGUGCCGCAGUUAACGCAUUAAGUGCUCCGCCUGGGGAGUACGCACGCAAGUGUGAAACUCAAAGGAAUUGACGGGGACCCGCACAAGCAGCGGAGCAUGUGGUUUAAUUCGAAGCAACGCGAAGAACCUUACCAGGACUUGACAUCCCUCUGACCGGUCCUUAACCGGACCUUUUCUUCGGAACAGAGGUGACAGGUGGUGCACGGCCGUCGACAGCU